CAGUCCGACGAGAAGUCCCUUCGGGGAUGAGUAAAGUGGCGCACGGGUGAGUAAUACGUGGGUAACCUGCCUUUACGUCCGGGAUAACAUCUCGAAAGGGGUGCUAAUACCGGGUAAGACCACGCAGCGGGAGCUGCGCGGGAAAAGAUGGCCUCUGAUUCAAGCUAUCGCGUAGAGAUGGGCCCACGGCCUAUCAGCUUGUUGGUGGGGUAACGGCCUACCAAGGCUCCGACGGGUAGCCGGCCUGAGAGGGUGAACGGCCACACUGGAACUGAGACACGGUCCAGACUCCUACGGGAGGCAGCAGUGGGGAAUUUUGCGCAAUGGGCGAAAGCCUGACGCAGCAACGCCGCGUGAGGGACGAAGGCCUUCGGGUUGUAAACCUCUUUUAAUUGGGAAGAAACCUGUGCCGGUAAAUAAUCGGCGCAGCUGACGGUACCAAUAGAAUAAGCCACGGCUAACUCUGUGCCAGCAGCCGCGGUAAGACAGAGGUGGCAAGCGUUGUUCGGAUUUAUUGGGCGUAAAGAGCGCGUAGGCGGUCCUGUAAGUCGGUGGUGAAAUCCCGGGGCUUAACCCCGGAAUUGCCUCCGAUACUGCUGGACUUGAGUGCGGGAGAGGGUAGUGGAAUUCCCAGUGUAGAGGUGAAAUUCGUAG
rnacentral:rRNA from 1 species